CCCAUAGCAAUGAUGGAAUUCUACAUGAAGAAGGCUGCUCAAGAAGAGAGGAGGAGGCAGCCUAAACAGUCAAAGGAUGAAAUGCCCCCGCCUCCUUCCCUUCAAGGACCUCCAGGAAAAAGAGGUCAUCACAUGGGUGACUACAUUCCACCAGAAGAGCUUGAGAAGUUUUUGGCUAGCUGUAAUGAUGUAACUGCACAAAAAGCUGCUAGAGAAACUAUAGAAAGGUCCAAAAUCCAAGCUAAUAAUGUUGGGCAUAAGUUGUUGUCCAAAAUGGGUUGGAAAGAAGGU
rnacentral:misc_RNA from 1 species